AUGGAAGUAGAACUCACAUCACUAGAUACAGCUACGGUCGAAGCAGAUUGGCUUCAUCGGCUCUUGAAUGACUUGCUGGUAGUUGAGAAACCUGUACCGGGUAUCCUUAUGAACUGUGACAAUCAAACUGUGAUCACUAAAGUGAGCAGCUCAAAGGAUAACAUGAAGUCAUCAAGACACAUUCAGAGAAGGUUAAAGUCUGUCAGAAAAAUGAAAAACUCCGGAGUUAUUGCAUUGGAUUAUAUCCAAACGUCUAAAAAUCUGGCAGAUCCUUUUACUAAGGGUCUAUCACGUAAUGUGAUAGAUAAUGCAUCGAGGGAGAUGGGUAUGAGACCCACAACGUGA
rnacentral:rRNA from 1 species